GGAGUUAGCCGGUGCUUCUUCUGCGAGUAACGUCACAGAUGUAAGGUAUUAACUUACACCCUUUCCUCCUCGCUGAAAGUGCUUUACAACCCGAAGGCCUUCUUCACACACGCGGCAUGGCUGCAUCAGGGUUUCCCCCAUUGUGCAAUAUUCCCCACUGCUGCCUCCCGUAGGAGUCUGGGCCGUGUCUCAGUCCCAGUGUGGCUGAUCAUCCUCUCAGACCAGCUAGGGAUCGUCGCCUAGGUGAGCCUUUACCUCACCUACUAGCUAAUCCCACCUGGGCUUAUCCAUCAGCGCAAGGCCCGAAGGUCCCCUGCUUUCCCCCGUAGGGCGUAUGCGGUAUUAGCAGUCGUUUCCAACUGUUAUCCCCCACAAAUGGGCAAAUUCUCAGGCAUUACUCACCCGUCCGCCGCUCGUCAUCUUCAAAAGCAAGCUUUUGAAAUGUUACCGCUCGACUUGCAUGUGUUAGGCCUGCCGCCAGCGUUCAAUCUGAGCCAGAAUCGAACCCUGA
rnacentral:rRNA from 1 species